rnacentral:rRNA from 1 species
ACGCUCGACACCUACGGGAGGCAGCAGUGGGGAAUAUUGCACAAUGGGGGAAACCCUGAUGCAGCAACGCCGCGUGAAGGAAGACGGUUUUCGGAUUGUAAACUUCUGUUCUUAGUGAAGAUAGUGACGGUAGCUAAGGAGCAAGCCACGGCUAACUACGUGCAAGCAGCCGCGGUAAUCUGAGCGGGCUGGCAAGGC